GGUGCGGUAGCCAAGUGGUAAGGCAGAAGUCUGCAAAACUUUUAUUCGUGAGUUCGAAUCUCUCCCGCACCU